AAAACCAAAGCUCUGCUGCAGUGAGUCGAAAUAAAUCCCCAAAAUAAAUCCCCAAAAUAAAUCCCCAAAAUAAAUCGGCUCAGCCCCUCGGGCAGGGCUCCUUUCGGGGAAUUGCCCGGAGAAGCGGCGUUUUGGGGUAAAAAAGGGGAGUUUUGUGUGCUCCCCAAAGCGCAGCCGGAGGUGGGUUCUGCUGCUGAGCCCGCAGCCAGGGGGGGUUUGGGGAGCUGUGGGGGGAUCUGUGGGGUUCUGGAGGGGGUCUGUGGGGUUUCUGUGGGGGUUCUGUGGGGUUCUGGAGGGGUUUCUGGGGAUUAGGGGGUUUCUGUGGGGUUCUGGAGGGGAUCUGUGGGAUUCUGUGGGUUUUUGUGGGGUUUCUGCGGGGUUAUGGGCGUUUCUCUGGGUUUUUCUGGGGUUUCUCUGGGUUUUUUGGGGUUUCUGCUCAUCUGGAGCCCCCGGUGCCCCCCCAGGAUGGUGCAGCAGUUCGGCGUGGACUUCGAGAAGCGCAUCGAGGGCUCGGGGGACCAGGUGGACACCCUGGAGCUGUCGGGGGGCGCCCGAAUCAACCGCAUCUUCCACGAGAGGUUCCCCUUCGAGCUGGUGAAGGUAAAAACGCCGCCGGGGGGCCAGGGGGGGCGGCUCCGGGGGGCGCCCGGCGUGCUGCUGACCACGGCCCCCCCCCUGCCCAGAUGGAGUUCGACGAGAAGGACCUGAGGAGGGAGAUCAGCUACGCCAUCAAGAACAUCCACGGCGUCAGGCAGGUGUUGGGGGGGGUCCCCAAAAAAUCCAGGGGGUGUGGGUGCCCCCUCAGUGCCCCCCCCAGGUUUGGCUGCUGGAAUCUCGUUUUUCUUCCCUUUUUUGGGGAAGAGGGGAGCUGGAGGGGAGGGCAGGGAGCUGAACCCCCCCUGGGGGGAAGAGCCGUCCCCUUCAGGUGCCCUCCUGACCCAGGAGGGGAUUUUGGGGGGGGGGGGCCCAGCCCUCCUGGCGUGCUUCAGCCUCGAAAUUUGGAAGGAGAGCAGAAAUGCAGAGCUUCCCCUCCUCCCCAGGGACCGCUUGGGGUGCAUCCACCCCCCCAAAACCCCCCCAAAAAGGCGGCUCCUCGACUGCCCUCCCCCUCAUCCCAGGGGUUAGGAUUAGGAGCACUAAUUCUAAUUAAUCCUAAAUUGAUCUAAUUAAUCCUAAACCCACCCCAACCUGACGGGGGCGUGGAAAAGGGGGGCAGGAAGCUGCUCCCCGGCGCUGAGCCCCAUCGGGAUGCGGCCUCGGGACCUGACGGC
rnacentral:lncRNA from 1 species